CACGUAGGGCGCAAGCGUUGUCCGGAAUUAUUGGGCGUAAAGAGCUCGUAGGCGGUCUGUUGCGUCCGCUGUGAAAACUCGGGGCUUAACCCCGAGCCUGCAGUGGAUACGGGCAGACUAGAGGUAGGUAGGGGAGAAUGGAAUUCCUGGUGUAGCGGUGAAAUGCGCAGAUAUCAGGAGGAACACCGGUGGCGAAGGCGGAUCUCUGGGCCUUACCUGACGCUCAGGCGCGAAAGCUAGGGGAGCGAACAGG
rnacentral:rRNA from 1 species